GACGAACGCUGGCGGCGUGCUUAACACAUGCAAGUCGAACGGAAAGGCCCUGCUUUUGUGGGGUGCUCGAGUGGCGAACGGGUGAGUAACACGUGAGUAACCUGCCCUUGACUUUGGGAUAACUUCAGGAAACUGGGGCUAAUACCGGAUAGGAGCUCCUGCUGCAUGGUGGGGGUUGGAAAGUUUCGGCGGUUGGGGAUGGACUCGCGGCUUAUCAGCUUGUUGGUGGGGUAGUGGCUUACCAAGGCUUUGACGGGUAGCCGGCCUGAGAGGGUGACCGGCAACAUUGGGACUGGGGUACGGCCCAGACUCCUACGGGAGGCAGCAGUGGGGAAUAUUGCACAAUGGGCGGAGGCCUGAUGCAGCAACGCCGCGUGCGGGAUGACGGCCUUCGGGUUGUAAACCGCUUUCGCCUGUGACGAAGCGUGAGUGACGGUAAUGGGUAAAGAAGCACCGGCUAACUACGU
rnacentral:rRNA from 1 species